CCCGCUCCGGUUGUGGGCGGGCGGUGUGAAGGGCUCUGCUGCUGGCAGGUGUCGCUGCAGAUAGAGCGUCGCCAGCGGAGCUCAGAUUUGCUAGCUGUGUUGGUGUGUAGCUGCGGCCCUGAGCCAGGAUGGAAAGGCUGGUAUUCAGGAGGCCCUUCUGCCACCUCUCCACCUACAGCCUGAUUUGGGGCAUGGCAGCAGUAGCGCUGGGCACAGCACAAGUAGAAGUGGUGACCCAUGAUGAAAGAAAGCUGCUGAACACACCUGCAUCCUUGAGAUGUUCUCUGCAAACUUCCCAGGAAGCUUUGAUUGUAACAUGGCAGAAAAAGAAGGCUGUAAGUCCAGAAAACAUGGUCACUUACAGCAAGAACCAUGGGGUUGUGGUCCAGCCUGCCUAUAAGGACAGGGUAAACAUCACCGAGCUGGGACUCCGGAACUCAACCAUCACCUUCUGGAACACAACAGUGGAUGAUGAGGGCUGUUACAUGUGUCUCUUCAAUAUCUUUGGUUCUGGGAAGAUCUCAGGAACAGCCUGCCUCACCCUCUAUGUACAGCCCAUAGUAUUCCUUCACUACAACUAUUUUGAAGACCACCUAAAUAUCACUUGUUCUGCCACUGCUCGCCCAGCCCCUGCCAUCUCCUGGAAGGGCACUGGGACAGGAAUUGAGAAUAGUACUGAGAGCCAGUCACACUCAAAUGGAACCACAUCUGUGACCAGCAUCCUCCGGGUCAAAGACCCCAAGAAUCAGGUGGGGAAGGAAGUGAUCUGCCAGGUGUUGUACCUGGGGACUGUCAUUGACUACAAGCAAUCUCUGGACAAAGGAUUUUGGUUUUCAGUUCCACUGUUGUUAAGCAUUGUUUCCCUGGUAAUUCUUCUGGUCUUAAUUUCCAUCUUAUUAUACUGGAAACGUCACCGGAAUCAGGAGCGAGGUGAGUCAUCACAGGGGAUGCAAAGAAUGAAAUAAGCAAUCCACAAGCCAGCUGUCCAUUUAAGAGACUGUGACAUUGUUCAAUACGAUCAUUCAUUAAAUAACACUUCCUAUGUUACACUCCCAUGAUGCCUCACACACUAUCGACAGCAUACAGAGCCCUAGAAGAGUUAUAUAGAACCCUGAAAGUUUUUCCCUGGUCUACUUGAAUCUGAUGUGAAAAGAAAGCAGGAAGAAAAAGGUCAUUCUCCAUGGGACCUAAAAAGAGCAAAAAAGGCAGGAGCAAACAUGUGAAGAAUUUGAGUUUUCACUGCCAUCCAAGGUACUCAGUGUUCAAGAGGAAGUCACGCACCUCAGGUCUGUUGUAGGACUUGACUUUGUAGAGCACGAAGUGUGCUAUUGAAAAGGCACCGGAUUUAAAAUCAGCAAUGCCAAGCUCCCAAGCUGACUUGGGCUCCUGCCGGUGGAAACACGUUUAUAGUCAAUUUACCUCACCGAGCUUCCUCAUCCUCAAUGAAGAUAUAAAGGAGUGGGAGAUAAUUUGCCAUGUGAGCUGAAAACCUGAUGGAAUUCUAAGAAUGAGGACUAAGCAAAGGAGGAAGUAAAAGGGAAGAGAAGGAAGAACACAGAAGGGUCCAAAGAGCUUUGCUGAGACUACCUUUUGCCUUUCUGUCGCUGCCCAGCUCUGCUUUUGUCCUUAGGUCCAUGAGUGUGUUUCCCUGUCAUUUGGGUCUAGUCUACUACCUGCUACUGUUUUGCUAAUUGUUGGCCUUGCUAGAAUCCCUGAUUUCCCCUGCCAUUCUUCCUGUGCUUCUAUGAGGGUUACUAUGACAAAAAUAGGGCAGAGUGUAGUGUGAAGUAACAUUGACAACCGUCAUGUAUCUCCAUUUAACUUAUUUUUGUAGCACUUAGACAAUAUUGUUAGUCUUAGAGAGUAGCUUAAAUUUUUAAGACAGCAUGCUUUCCCUGUCCAUUUGUCCCACAGCAGCACCCUCUCUUAGGCCAUUCUGAAUCCUGUCUAGUGUAAUGAAGAUAUAUUAACAGACACUUAAGGAUUUCCUAUACAGCAGAUAGCUGUAUGUGUUUUCUCUCCCCAGCGUCUUUUCCUGUGACUUAACUUUUCACAAAGGAUGAGAAGGCAAGUACAUACAUGCAAUCCCUUUGUUCUAAAGAUAUUGUGAAAUAUUGAUUCUUAACCAUAUGUCAAAACUAGUGAAGUUAUUUUCUGUAUUUUUUGCUUGUCUGUCUUAUUCAGUGACCAAGGAAUUAAAGUGUAAGUUGUUUUCAUUGUUGAAUUGGAUAUUUAUAUAUUUAGUAUGCUUUCCAUGUGUUAUUUAAUUCUGUAUUAUUUCUUAUAAUUGUAUUAAAAUACUGAGCUGUUAAAAGUGUCAACUAAAUAUUUGAUGUGUUAUAUUCCCUUGGGAAAUGUAAAAAAUAAACAGUAACACUUGAA